rnacentral:misc_RNA from 1 species
UUAGGGAGACCUAAUCCACUCAGACAUCGAAAACAAAAAGUGAAUAGACACUGAGAUGGUCAUUCCUAGGUCGGUCGAGGUUGGUAAAAACUUUCAAAGUAUUUUUGGUUCAGUUUAAUAACAGAGAAAAAAUCAGCAACAUGGCAUCAAGCCAGACUGCUGGGUAAGACUCAGCCAGAACCUUUAAAACUGCAUAGUAACGCGAAAAAAGCAGGCAGACACAGACAUGAAAAUGAAAGUGUAUGCGAUGUAAAA